rnacentral:rRNA from 3 species
ACUAAGCGUACACGGUGGAUGCCCUGGCAGUCAGAGGCGAUGAAGGACGUGCUAAUCUGCGAUAAGCGUCGGUAAGGUGAUAUGAACCGUUAUAACCGGCGAUUUCCGAAUGGGGAAACCCAGUGUGUUUCGACACACUAUCAUUAACUGAAUCCAUAGGUUAAUGAGGCGAACCGGGGGAACUGAAACAUCUAAGUACCCCGAGGAAAAGAAAUCAACCGAGAUUCCCCCAGUAGCGGCGAGCGAACGGGGAGCAGCCCAGAGCCUGAAUCAGUGUGUGUGUUAGUGGAAGCGUCUGGAAAGGCGCGCGAUACAGGGUGACAGCCCCGUACACAAAAAUGCACAUGCUGUGAGCUCGAUGAGUAGGGCGGGACACGUGGUAUCCUGUCUGAAUAUGGGGGGACCAUCCUCCAAGGCUAAAUACUCCUGACUGACCGAUAGUGAACCAGUACCGUGAGGGAAAGGCGAAAAGAACCCCGGCGAGGGGAGUGAAAAAGAACCUGAAACCGUGUACGUACAAGCAGUGGGAGCCUCUUUAUGGGGUGACUGCGUACCUUUUGUAUAAUGGGUCAGCGACUUAUAUUCUGUAGCAAGGUUAACCGAAUAGGGGAGCCGAAGGGAAACCGAGUCUUAACUGGGCGUUAAGUUGCAGGGUAUAGACCCGAAACCCGGUGAUCUAGCCAUGGGCAGGUUGAAGGUUGGGUAACACUAACUGGAGGACCGAACCGACUAAUGUUGAAAAAUUAGCGGAUGACUUGUGGCUGGGGGUGAAAGGCCAAUCAAACCGGGAGAUAGCUGGUUCUCCCCGAAAGCUAUUUAGGUAGCGCCUCGUGAAUUCAUCUCCGGGGGUAGAGCACUGUUUCGGCAAGGGGGUCAUCCCGACUUACCAACCCGAUGCAAACUGCGAAUACCGGAGAAUGUUAUCACGGGAGACACACGGCGGGUGCUAACGUCCGUCGUGAAGAGGGAAACAACCCAGACCGCCAGCUAAGGUCCCAAAGUCAUGGUUAAGUGGGAAACGAUGUGGGAAGGCCCAGACAGCCAGGAUGUUGGCUUAGAAGCAGCCAUCAUUUAAAGAAAGCGUAAUAGCUCACUGGUCGAGUCGGCCUGCGCGGAAGAUGUAACGGGGCUAAACCAUGCACCGAAGCUGCGGCAGCGACGCUUAUGCGUUGUUGGGUAGGGGAGCGUUCUGUAAGCCUGUGAAGGUGUGCUGUGAGGCAUGCUGGAGGUAUCAGAAGUGCGAAUGCUGACAUAAGUAACGAUAAAGCGGGUGAAAAGCCCGCUCGCCGGAAGACCAAGGGUUCCUGUCCAACGUUAAUCGGGGCAGGGUGAGUCGACCCCUAAGGCGAGGCCGAAAGGCGUAGUCGAUGGGAAACAGGUUAAUAUUCCUGUACUUGGUGUUACUGCGAAGGGGGGACGGAGAAGGCUAUGUUGGCCGGGCGACGGUUGUCCCGGUUUAAGCGUGUAGGCUGAUUUUCCAGGCAAAUCCGGAAAAUCAAGGCUGAGGCGUGAUGACGAGGCACUACGGUGCUGAAGCAACAAAUGCCCUGCUUCCAGGAAAAGCCUCUAAGCAUCAGGUAACAUCAAAUCGUACCCCAAACCGACACAGGUGGUCAGGUAGAGAAUACCAAGGCGCUUGAGAGAACUCGGGUGAAGGAACUAGGCAAAAUGGUGCCGUAACUUCGGGAGAAGGCACGCUGAUAUGUAGGUGAAGUCCCUCGCGGAUGGAGCUGAAAUCAGUCGAAGAUACCAGCUGGCUGCAACUGUUUAUUAAAAACACAGCACUGUGCAAACACGAAAGUGGACGUAUACGGUGUGACGCCUGCCCGGUGCCGGAAGGUUAAUUGAUGGGGUCAGCGCAAGCGAAGCUCUUGAUCGAAGCCCCGGUAAACGGCGGCCGUAACUAUAACGGUCCUAAGGUAGCGAAAUUCCUUGUCGGGUAAGUUCCGACCUGCACGAAUGGCGUAAUGAUGGCCAGGCUGUCUCCACCCGAGACUCAGUGAAAUUGAACUCGCUGUGAAGAUGCAGUGUACCCGCGGCAAGACGGAAAGACCCCGUGAACCUUUACUAUAGCUUGACACUGAACAUUGAGCCUUGAUGUGUAGGAUAGGUGGGAGGCUUAGAAGUGUGGACGCCAGUCUGCAUGGAGCCGGCCUUGAAAUACCACCCUUUAAUGUUUGAUGUUCUAACGUGGACCCGUAAUCCGGGUUGCGGACAGUGUCUGGUGGGUAGUUUGACUGGGGCGGUCUCCUCCUAAAGAGUAACGGAGGAGCACGAAGGUUGGCUAAUCCUGGUCGGACAUCAGGAGGUUAGUGCAAUGGCAUAAGCCAGCUUGACUGCGAGCGUGACGGCGCGAGCAGGUGCGAAAGCAGGUCAUAGUGAUCCGGUGGUUCUGAAUGGAAGGGCCAUCGCUCAACGGAUAAAAGGUACUCCGGGGAUAACAGGCUGAUACCGCCCAAGAGUUCAUAUCGACGGCGGUGUUUGGCACCUCGAUGUCGGCUCAUCACAUCCUGGGGCUGAAGUAGGUCCCAAGGGUAUGGCUGUUCGCCAUUUAAAGUGGUACGCGAGCUGGGUUUAGAACGUCGUGAGACAGUUCGGUCCCUAUCUGCCGUGGGCGCUGGAGAACUGAGGGGGGCUGCUCCUAGUACGAGAGGACCGGAGUGGACGCAUCACUGGUGUUCGGGUUGUCAUGCCAAUGGCACUGCCCGGUAGCUAAAUGCGGAAGAGAUAAGUGCUGAAAGCAUCUAAGCACGAAACUUGCCCCGAGAUGAGUUCUCCCUGACUCCUUGAGAGUCCUGAAGGAACGUUGAAGACGACGACGUUGAUAGGCCGGGUGUGUAAGCGCAGCGAUGCGUUGAGCUAACCGGUACUAAUGAACCGUGAGGCUUAACC